rnacentral:tRNA from 1 species
CGGGAUGUAGCGUAGCCUGGCUAACGCGCCUGGUUUGGGACCAGGAGAUCGCAGGUUCAAAUCCUGUCAUCCCGA